rnacentral:rRNA from 1 species
GCAAGUCGAGGGAGAAGUUUUGUGCUUGCACAGAACAGAAACAGGCGAACGGGUGCGUAUAACGUAUGUAACCUACAUCUAACUGGGGGAUAGCCCGAAGAAAUUCGGAUAAAUACCCUAUAAUAUUUACAUACCGCAUGGUAUGUAUCUUAAAACUCCGGUGGUUAUAGAUGGGCAUGCGGCUUAUUAGUUUGUUGGUGAGGUAACGGCUCACCAAGACUACGAUAAGUAGGGGGUCUGAGAGGAUGAUC